GGCAAUGAUGAUCUACUAGGUUUGCUGCUUCAAUGUCAAGAACAAACUGAUAGUGAGAUGACAAUUGAAGAUGUGAUAGAGGAAUGCAAGUUGUUCUACUUUGCUGGCCAAGAGACCACUGCUAACUGGCUAACAUGGACAAUUCUCCUCUUAUCUAUGCAUCCCAACUGGCAAGAGAAGGCAAGAGAAGAGGUUUUACAAAUUUGUGGGAAGAAAAUGCCUGAUAUUGAAGCCAUAAACCACCUCAAAAUUGUUAGUACUUUUCCUCCACUUUACUUGAAAUUGCAUUCCAAGUAGUUUUCUUAUAUAUAACUCAUUUGUAGGUGUCGAUGAUACUACAUGAAGUCCUAAGGCUAUAUCCACCUGUGACUCAGCAGUUCAGGCAUACUUGUGAAAGAAUCAAUAUAGCAGGUAUGUGUAUCCCAGCUGGGGUCAACCUUGUGUUGCCAACUUUGCUUCUUCAUCACAGUCCUGAGUAUUGGGGAGAUGAUGUUGAAGAAUUUAAACCAGAGAGAUUCUCUGAAGGAGUUUCAAAGGCAUCAAAGGGUGAUCAGAUUGCAUUCUAUCCAUUUGGGUGGGGGCACAGGAUUUGCUUGGGCCAAGGUUUUGCAAUGAUAGAAGCAAAGAUGGCUCUAGCUAUGAUUCUGCAACACUUUUGGUUUGAGCUUUCACCCACUUACACUCAUGCUCCUCAUACUGUUAUUACUCUUCAACCUCAACAUGGAGCUCCAAUUAUACUACACGAAAUCUAACAACUAUUUCUUUUGGCUUUCAUGGCUAUACCUUUUUAUCUUCAUACUCACACAUGAAGGGUAGUAAGCCAAUAGAAACUCGUGUCUACAAAACCCAAGUUCAAAACAAACUACCUACUUGCAUGUCCAUCUCUUCUUCUACGUUGUAUGUAGAUCUGGUCUCUCAUUUCCCCAAAGACAUACAUUUAAGUACAACAAUUUUGAAGAAAGAAAAUGGAGGUUGUUACAUUUCGAAUUCACUCAACCAUACCAAAUUUAAAGGCCUUCACUGGUAAUCAAAAUGACUAUUCUCCUUUUGAGGCAACUCUUUCUGCCUAUCUUGGCUACUUCUGUUUAUUUAAAGGCAACACUCCAUUGUUAAACUUCUAUAAAAGUUUAUUCUUGGUUCAUCGAGGUGGUUGGGGAGGGUUGUUCCAAGCUUUUAUAUCCAAUGUAAAACCUUAUCCUACUCUUUUGUAUUCCAAUAAAUUCAAGAUGCAAUAUGUGAAGCUUUGGAAGGUCAGAAGUGAGUGUAAUUAUGUUCCAUUAAUUUUAUUUUACUUAUCAUUGUAUACCUUUGACUUGAUUUGCCAUGUACCAAUAGUUACCAAAGCUAUUUAAAAGUUAUUAUAAAUAAAAAUUAUUUUAAUUAGUAAUAUUCUUGUUAAAAAUGAUUUAAAAAAAAUCAUUNNNNNNNNNNNNNNNNNNNNNNNNNNNNNNNNNNNNNNNNNNNNNNNNNNNNNNNNNNNNNNNNNNNNNNNNNNNNNNNNNNNNNNNNNNNNNNNNNNNNAAAAAUCAUUUGUAUUUUACAAUAUUUUUAAAAAGUUUUUUUAAUAUAAAAAUUAUUUUUUAAGGUUGAAAAAUUUUUAAAAAUCAUUUAUAAGACUUUUUAGAAAAACGUUUGAUAUGUGGUUAUCUUAAAAUUAAUUGUGGAGAAAAUAUUUUAUUAAAAACCCUUUAAAUAAAAACCAAUAGGAUAAAAUUGUUGACCGGACCCUUUUCCGGUGUGGUUUUCACUUUUAGCCCGCUCCCAUGUCAAACCGGAUCCCACUCUCAUAUCAAACCGGAAUUGAACCGCUCCGGAUCAAACCGUAAUUUUACCCACAAUGUGCAUCUCCAGCAUCAGCCAGGAUUGCAUCUGUGAACAGAAGGAACAAAGGCCACUGGGCUAUCUAUAAACUUUGUAAAAAUUAAUGCACAUAAAUAUAUACUAUAAUUUUGGUAUUUUUUUUGAGUUUCAUUAAUUUAAACUCUUAAUUAAACAUAAACAUUAAGUGCACAUUUAUUUUUUAAGAUAAGUUAUGAAAAGAAUAUAAAUUAAAUAAUAUAAUAAUUUUUAAAAUAAUAAAAUAAUAAAAUAUAUAAUUUUUCACAUGUAAAAUUCUUUUCAUCCUAACUAUAUCUUCACAUUUAAAUAUUAUAAAUAUUUUAUUAAAUAAAAUUUAAAAUAUUAAUUCAUUUAUAUUUAUCCUUAUAAUCAUUUAAUUUGAUAUUAAUAUUAUUAAAAUUUUGAAUUAUAUAUAUAUAUAUUUAAUUUUUUAUAAAUACUUUUACUUUAUAUAAUAUAUAAAUUAUAUAUUUAUGAUGUCAUAUGUUUGAUCAUGAUUUAAUCAUUGCUUCAAUUAGUAAACCGUGAAUAGACAAUUUAGCAAUUCAUUGGUUUGAUUAUGAAAACAUUGAAAAAAACAUCGGGUAAGAUAUUAUCCAAAUGUCAGUGCUUUGAUUAUUAGAUUUUUGAAGUGGUGAUCAAGUGAUUAUCCAAAUGUCAGUGCUGCCUCCACAUCUUGAUUUGUAGUUAAUGGAAGUUAAUGCACAUGUAAUGAUAUAAUUUUAGAAAAACAUACGAUAAGAAAUGUUUCAGUCCACAUCAAGUGGGAAUCCUUUUCAUCAUCAUGGGAAACAAAAGAAAGUGGAAUCUUUUUCAUUAUUACUUCUUGUUUUUUCAACACUUGUUCAAGAGAAGGGUAGACUGCAUUUUAGAAAAACAUACGAUAAGAAAUGUUGCAGUCCACAUCAAGUGGGAAUCCUUUUCAUCAUAAUGGGAAGCAAAAGAAAGUGGAAUCUUUUUCAUUAUUACUUCUUGUUUUUUCAACACUUGUUCAAGAGAAGGGUAGACUGCAUUUGGCAUAUUUUGGGCAUCAAACUAAUUUAAUCAUUGUACAAAACCCCAUUAAAACCCACAAAAUUUUAGCUUCAUCAUUCCAAGAAAACCCAAAUGAGAAUGGAAGGCUCCAUUUUGAAAACCAUGGCAUACUCUUUUGCCAUAUUGACUGUCUAUACUCUUUUGAGAGUUGUUUACAGCAUCUGGUGGAGACCCAAAAGCCUGGAGAAGCAGCUGAGGCGGCAAGGCAUCAGAGGUACUCAUUACAAGCUUUUGUUUGGAGACGCGAAAGCUAUGAAGCAGUCAUUCAUGGAGGCACGCUCCAAACCCAUGGCUUUGAACCAUUCUAUUGUUCCUCGUGUCAUUCCAUUCUACCAUGAAAUGGCUCAAAAAUAUGGUAAGCCGAUUAUUAUAUUGUUACUGGUUUAUUGCCUCUUCUUAUGUGGAUCUGAUGACAUAGAAUUGGAAAAACAGGGAAAGUUUCAGUGAGUUGGCACUUUACAACGCCAAGGGUGCUGAUAGUGGAGCCAGAGCUGAUGAGGAUGAUAUUAAAAUACAAGAAUGGUCACUUGCACAGGCUGCCGGGAAACCCUCUUGGGUAUCAUCUGUCACGCGGACUAUUAUCCUUGGAAGGUGAGAAAUGGGCCAAAAGGAGAAAGUUACUCUCACCAGCUUUCCACCUUGAGAAGUUGAAGGUGAUUAAUCUAACCCACUAACUUUCCGCUCUUAACAGCGAGAAAAUUCUUUACAGUGAUAGAGGCUAUCGUUCAAAGAGUAACUAAAGAGUGGCACACUUCCAUCGUUAAGAAGCGCUUUUAGAGAAAAAUAUGCAUCGGGUUUGUCAAAAUUUACAAAACACCUAAAAAAUACUUUAACUAAAUACUAGCUCCCAAAUAUUCUUAAUAAAGUUGAACAAAAGUACCAUUCGCAACAUAAUAGAGUGAUUCAUACCCCAUUGAUUUAUAUUUCUUUUUGUUGUAAUAAUUAAUAUAUGAAGAAAAACUAUUAGAAAUAUUUAUGAGUAUUAUAGGUCAUGAAAAAAAAAAUUUAUAAGCUUAUGAAAAUUAUAUGUGAUGGCUAGAGAUGGGAGGAGUGAAAGAUACUCGGUGGAGGACGAGGGUUCAUGGACUCGUAAUUCAAAGUAUAAAUACAAAGAGUUGAAAAACGUGAGAUGUUCAAUUAUUGACCUGUAAUAUUUUUUAUGGUAUGGUAGAAUGUACUCUUUUAUUCAUGGAUGUAGGUAUGGUUUGUCGGUUUUAAAAUCUUGUCGACUUUUUGUAAGGAUUAUUUGAUCUUUGUGCUUGUGCAUCAGCAUAUUUAUAUUGAAACUUCACAACAUAAUUUUCAUGGCAAAGCCCAAAGAGGGCCUUAGGUUAUGAAGUACUAAUGGGUAGUGAAAAACAGGGUAUGAUGCCAGCAUUUUCAACAAGUUGUCACGAUUUGAUAGAACGGUGGAAGAACUUGGUUGGUCCUCAAGGAACAUAUGAACUAGAUGUAAUGCCUGAAUUUCAGAACCUUACUGGGGAUGUUAUUUCUCGAACAGCCUUUGGAAGCAGCUAUGAAGAAGGAAGGAGAGUGUUUGAACUUCAGAAGGAGCAAAUUGUGCUAGUCAUGGAAGAUUUUCGAAACUUUUACAUACCUGGUUUCAGGUGCAAAGCAUUAUAAACUUUAGAGUGUCUACUGUAAUUUCUUAGCUUAAAUAUUUCUUGUUCUGAACGAAUUAUUCCAUCUGAUUGUAGAUUUGUGCCCACUAGGAAGAACAAGAGGAGAUAUUAUAUGGACAGUGAGAUCAAAGCGAUGAUAAAAAAAAUAAUUCUCAAGAAGAAGCAGACCCUGAAGAAUGGAGAUCCAGGCAAUGAUGAUCUACUAGGUUUACUGCUGCAAUGUCAGGAACAAACUGAUAGUGAGAUGACGAUUGAUGAUGUGGUAGAGGAAUGCAAGUUGUUCUACUUUGUUGGCCAAGAGACCACUGCUAACUGGCUAACAUGGACAACUCUCCUCUUAUCUAUGCAUCCCAACUGGCAAGAGAAGGCAAGAGCAGAGGUUUUACAGAUAUGUGGGAAGAAAAUGCCUGAUAUUGAAG
rnacentral:lncRNA from 1 species